AGUGGCAGACGGGUGAGUAACAUGUGGGUAUCUACCCUUUGGCCUGGAAUAACACGAGGAAACUUGUGCUAAUACCGGAUAAGUCUUUACGGAGAAAGCUUUAUGCACCAUUGGAUGAGCCCGCACUUGAUUAGUUUGUUGGUAGGGUAAUGGCCUACCAAGACUAUGAUCAAUAGCUGAUUUGAGAGGAUGAUCAGCCACAUUGGGACUGAGACACGGCCCAAACUCCUACGGGAGGCAGCAGUGGGGAAUCUUGCACAAUGGAGGAAACUCUGAUGCAGCGAUGCCGCGUGAGUGAAGAAGGCCUUUGGGUUGUAAAGCUCUUUCGUCGGGGAAGAAAAUGACUGUACCCGAAUAAGAAGGUCCGGCUAACUUCGUGCCAGCAGCCGCGGUAAUACGAAGGGACCUAGCGUAGUUCGGAAUUACUGGGCUUAAAGAGUUCGUAGGUGGUUGAAAAAGUUGGUGGUGAAAUCCCAGAGCUUAACUCUGGAACUGCCAUCAAAACUUUUCAGCUAGAGUAUGAUAGAGGAAAGCAGAAUUUCUAGUGUAGAGGUGAAAUUCGUAGAUAUUAGAAAGAAUACCAAUUGCGAAGGCAGCUUUCUGGAUCAUUACUGACACUGAGGAACGAAAGCAUGGUAGCGAAGAGGAUUAGAUACCCUCGUAGUCAUGCCGA
rnacentral:rRNA from 1 species